rnacentral:rRNA from 1 species
AACGUACGCUGGCGGCACGCCUAACACAUGCAAGUCGAACGCAGUAGCAAUACUGAGUGGCAAACGGGUGAGUAUAAUGUGGGAAUCUGCCUUUUGGUUUGGAAUAACACGGGGAAACUUGUGCUAAUACCGAAUAAGCCCUUACGGGGAAAGUUUUAAUGCCGAAAGAUGAGCCCGCACUUGAUUAGCUAGUUGGUAAGGUAAAGGCUUACCAAGGCUACGAUCAAUAGCUGUUCUUAGAGGAAGACCAGCCACAUUGGGACCGAGACACGGCCCAGACUCCUACGGGAGGCAGCAGUGGGGAAUCUUGCACAAUGGGGGAAACCCUGAUGCAGCGAUGCCGCGUGAGUGAAGAAGGCCUUUGGGUUGUAAAGCACUUUCACUGGUGAAGAUUAUGACAGUAGCAGGUAAAGAAACCCCGGCUAACUCCG